rnacentral:rRNA from 1 species
GAUGAACGCUGGCGGCGUGCCUAAUACAUGCAAGUCGAGCGAACGGACGAGAAGCUUGCUUUUCUGAUGUUAGCGGCGGACGGGUGAGUAACACGUGGAUAACCUACCUAUAAGACUGGGAUAACUUCGGGAAACCGGAGCUAAUACCGGAUAAUAUUUUGAACCGCAUGGUUCAAAAGUGAAAGACGGUCUUGCUGUCACUUACAGAUGGAUCCGCGCUGCAUUAGCUAGUUGGUAAGGUAACGGCUUACCAAGGCAACGAUGCCUAGCCGACCUGAGAGGGUGAUCGGCCACACUGGAACUGAGACACGGUCCAGACGCCUACGGGAGGCAGCAGUAGGGAAUCUUCCGCAAUGGGCGAAAGCCUGACGGAGCAACGCCGCGUGAGUGAUGAAGGUCUUCGGAUCGUAAAACUCUGUUAUUAGGGAAGAACAUAUGUGUAAGUAACUGUGCACAUCUUGACGGUACCUAAUCAGAAAGCAACGGCUAACUACGUG